UACAGAGGGGGCAAGCGUUAUUCGGAAUUAUUGGGCGUAAAGGGCGCGUAGGCGGCCCGGCAAGUGGAAGGUGAAAUCCCUCGGCUCAACCGAGGAACUGCCUUCCAAACUGCCUGGGCUUGAGUCCGGGAGAGGUGAGUGGAAUUCCCAGUGUAGCGGUGAAAUGCGUAGAUAUUGGGAGGAACACCGAUGGCGAAGGCAGCCCCCUGGGCCAACACUGACGCUCAGGCACGAAAGCGUGGGGAGCAAACAGG
rnacentral:rRNA from 1 species